ensembl:lncRNA
AUUCAACAGGGAUUAUGCUGACCUCUUUUCCUUUGCAAAGAGCUUAAUAAAAACUAAAUAAAAUUCACACUUUAACAGCAGUAAUGUCUUAGCAUCAGAAAAUGAUUGUAUCUCUAAGUCUGCAAAUAAUACCUCUGGGUGUUUUUUGGCCUUUAUUUCUAAUUAGACACAAUAUUUGAGAACUCAUUUAUCCACCAACUCACAAAAUUUAAAAUCUUCCUUAAGUGAUUGGAAGGAGUCCUGUGUUAUAUAAACCCCCUCCUCUUUGAAGGCGACAUUACCUGACAGGCAGGCUACUGAAAGGAGAGGCCAAGAAACAGAAAGAGCUCGAUCGCAGGAUCCAUGUGGCAGCUCCCUGAGCCUCUUACCUCCUUUCCAGCUUUGUCUGUUCAGUUUGAAAAAUCGGAAAAACGGUUCCCACCUGUUUCCCACCUCGUAAGGAUUAAUUGGGUCAUCGUCAACAGCAGGAAUUGAGAAUACUGAGCUCUGUAGAGUCAGCUUUCCAUCCAUAUUAAAUGAGCAAAUUGAAUUAAAAGUACAAUUUUGUGUUUAGAGAAGGCCCGAGCCCCUCAGGGGAGUUCCUAGUGCAGUCCAUGGGCGGGAGGCCCCUCUUCAGUUCCCACCCCUCGUCGUGGAUUGUAAAAUUAACCAGGGACCCUCCUAAAUGGUGCCAGGGACACGAGUCCCACCUUAAACCAGUGAACAUGACAUUGAGGGACCAAACUGAGAGGAAAUAAGGAAAAGAAGAGACAUGGGAAAAGCUAACUUCCUGCAACCUGAAAUGAAAAAUGCCCACGAAAGCCCUCCUAGAACCGGGUUACAGCGUUAUUCCUGCUUUCAAGGAGCUUGCAGUUUUGUCAAACGCAUGUAGCUUUACCAGAGAGAGAGAGGGAUCUAAAUAUCUGUACCAGAUAGGAACACUCCCCUCCCCAUUUUCUCUCCAGUUUCCAGGUCUACCAAAUCAGAAACCAGAUUAAAGGUUCUAUGCCUGCAAACUGAAGAGCUGCAUUGCUAUAUAUGUUCCCUUUUCCUGCAAGAAACAAUUUUCUGCUAAUUUACUUUGCCCUACCAUGCAGAAGAGUGAGUGCAUUUGAAACGUGCACAUACAUGCAUUCUGUAGGCACCACACAAAAGGCCAAAAGAGAAACAAGCUAUCUGGGUUUAAAUUUAUUUUUUCUUUGUUUGCUUAAGUAUUUUAUUAAUGCCAUGUGACUUGCUAAAUGCAAAUAUAUGAAAGGGAGGCACUUAUACGAGAGGAAAUGUUUAGUUCAAAAAAAACUAUGACUUCAAUCUAUCAUUUACUGCACUUGAAUAAACAGAAAAGCCAUCUAUACCCUUUUAAUUUUAAUACAUUUUUAUGGCCUCUUUAUAUUCUUCCGAAGUGCCUUCAUCCUUAUAUAAUGAACUACUCACCUGAUUCAGAUUCUUCCAUUGCCUAGUUACAGUUGGAAUUUGAGUUAGCAGACCAGCUGGAUAAAAUAAUAGCAUCUGUUGUAAAUUCAAAUGCAUUUUUAUAGGAAAAGAUACAAACUCCACACUGGAAAGUUUAUUGUGCUGUUUACUGCACACCUGGGGACUGAGUUUCAUUACCUGCCCACCCUGGUCAGAAAUGGAAUAAAAUGACCAUGAGUCAAUCUGUGUGAAAGAAGAAUUUAAUGCGUAUCUUGGUUGGAGAGGUCCAGUUAUUUGUAAAAUUAGUUCAAUCCAAAUAAUAAGCUAAAAGGCUGGCUGAAACAGAGCCAUUCCUUAAUCAGGUAGGACCAAUUUCCCAAAGCAAAACAGUUGAAAGCCUUUGACUUUUCCCAUAAGACCCGGGAAAAGGCUGGGAGGGAGAGGGGGGAGCGUGAGACUUCAUGUUGCCGCUGCUAAAUCUAAUGGCCAAAUGGAAAGCUGAGUUUGGUUCCCAUAAUAGAAAGAACAUUGAAGAAUUUCUAAAAGGGAUCACAGUAGCAUUUCCUGAAAACACUAGAGCAGUAACGCUUACACUUUUGGAGAUUAUUUUAAGAAUAUGCUGCCAAAGGCUGCCCUUCCAGCAGUUCAAGGACACCCUGAAGGCUGCCAUGACCCUGGUUAACUCCUGCCUGAAAGGCAGACAGCCACCUCUGAGUUGCCCAGGAAUUACCCUCUGCCCUCAUUUUAAGUGCUCACAGUUCAGAAGCUCGUAAUAAAAAUAGUGCCGAUGCUCCAUAAAUUCAUUUCUUUAUAUCUUCUGAAAAAUUCUCAUGGUAACCAUGCAAUGGGUAUUAUUCCCCCUAGUUCAGAAUUGUGGAAACUGAAGCUGAGAGUGGUUCCACAUUUGUCCAGGGACGCAUAGCUAGCAGAU